rnacentral:tRNA from 1 species
GACACAGGGAUGCAGCUCUGGGGUAGAGCACUUGCUUAGCAUGCAUGAGGCCCUGGGUUCCAUCCCCAGCAGUGUCA